rnacentral:tRNA from 1 species
GGGCCCGUGGCCUAGCUUGGAUAGGGCGUCGGCCUUCGGAGCCGGAGGUCCCGGGUUCAAAUCCCGGCGGGCCCA